AGGACUGUAGUUAUUUUAAUAACAUUUAUUCCGCAAAUAAAAAGUAUUGUAAAAUCUGUCUUU
rnacentral:tRNA from 1 species